UGAAGGAAAGCUCUUACUACAUAGCCUGAAUAUUUGUUUUGGAAAUCGACCCAAAAUUUAUCAAUGUUACAUGGAGUAUUGUUCUAAUAUACAUAGGGCUUGAAUGGUAGGGCUGAAAGUCCCUGAAAAGGUGAAAAGGCACUGUUCACCACCACGUUCCCCUGUUUGGUAGCUAUGAAAACCAACUUUGUGUACCCGGUAAAACACCUUAUGGUUUCAGGCUCUCAGCGUUAACUAACGUGGAGGUUGGUGUAGCUCUAGUGGGAGCAGCACCAGAUGGCUGAAUCGUCAACCCCUGCAUUCGAAUUUCACUAGACUGCGGAAUUGUAAAUGAUUUUCGCAUCAGUUGGCAUCCUCUCGUUUCAAAGGUCAUUCUUGCAGGCUGGUCGAUUUGAUAUUGGCUCUCACCAAAAGUCAAUGUGAUGUAAACUGCUCAAAGAGAUAGCACCAGCAAAUGUAUUUUCCCAGUCUUUGUGCCUUGCACUAAAAUCAGAGGUGGGAGACGAGACUUGUAUGCGUUUAGAACGGACAUGGGCGCGAUGGGGACUUGAGGGAAGUAGUAGCAACAUCCCACAUGAAGCCGGCCAGCAGGAACAAGACAAGAGCAAUAAUAAUUGAAGAUUUGGAGUGAAUAAUGAAUCACUUUAUGGUAUGUACACUUAUUUGUGGGCAAUGAUAAAAGCAACCCACUCCAUUACUGUUGAAAUAUGUAUAAAAUUGCCAGUGCAAAGCCAUUUCCAGAUUGUCAGUGUUUGAGUCCCACAAAAAGAUGAAACUUUCAUACUCACCUUCAAAAGUGAU